AUUGCUUCUCAGCCUUUUGGCUAAGAUCAAGUGUAGUAUCUGUUCUUAUCAGUUUAAUAUCUGAUACACUCUCUAUCUGAGGACAAUAUAGUAAAUGGAUUUUGGAGCAGGGAGAUGGAAUAGGAGCUUGCUCUGUCCGCUCCACGCAUCGACCUGGUGUUGCAGUGCCUCUGGGAAAGGUGCAGGGAAA